rnacentral:rRNA from 1 species
AGAGUUUGAUCAUGGCUCAGAGCGGACGCUGGCGGCAUGCUUAACACAUGCAAGCCGCACGGGCAGUAGCAAUAUUGUCAGUGGCGGACGGGUGAGUAACGCGUAGGAAUCUAUCUUUGGAUGGGGGACAACCGUGGGAAACUACGGCUAAUACCGCAUAAUGCCUGAGGGCCAAAGCUUGAGAGAGCGUCUGAAGAGGAGCCUGCGUCUGAUUAGCUAGUUGGUGGGGUAAAGGCCUACCAAGGCUUCGAUCAGUAGCUGGUCUGAGAGGAUGAUCAGCCACAUUGGGACUGAGACACGGCCCAAACUCCUACGGGAGGCAGCAGUGGGGAAUAUUGGACAAUGGGCGCAAGCCUGAUCCAGCAAUGCCGCGUGGGUGAAGAAGGUUUUCGGAUUGUAAAGCCCUUUUGGCGGGGACGAUGAUGACGGUACCCGCAGAAUAAGCUCCGGCUAACUUCGUGCCAGCAGCCGCGGUAAUACGAAGGGGGCUAGCGUUGCUCGGAAUGACUGGGCGUAAAGGGCGCGUAGGCGGACUGCACAGUCAGGCGUGAAAUUCCUGGGCUUAACCUGGGGACUGCGUCUGAGACGUGUGAUCUAGAGUGAGGAAGAGGGUCGUGGAAUUUCCAGUGUAGAGGUGAAAUUCGUAGAUAUUGGAAAAGAACACCGGUGGCGAAGG